GGGAUUGCCCUAGUAACGGCGAGUGAAGCGGCAACAGCUCAAAUUUGAAAUCUGGGGUCGAUUGCGGCCUCCGAGUUGUAGUUUGCAGAGGGAGCCUCGGAGGGCUGAGCGGUCCAAGUGCCUUGGAACAGGAUACCUAAGAGGGUGAGAGUCCCGUAUCUGGCCGGAUCAGCGCUCCGUGUGAGGCCUCUUCGACGAGUCGAGUUGUUUGGGAAUGCAGCUCCAAGCGGGUGGUAAAUUCCAUCUAAAGCUAAAUACUGGCCAGAGACCGAUAGCGAACAAGUAGAGUGAUCGAAAGAUGAAAAGCACUUUGAAAAGAGAGUCAAACAGUACGUGAAAUUGUUGAAAGGGAAGCGCAUGGGGGCAGACUUGGCCGCGGGGUUCAGGGUGUCAUUUUUGGCGCCUGUACUUCCUCGCGGACAGGCCAGCAUCGGUUCUGGGGGCCGGACAAAGGCGGCGGGAACGUGGCUCUCCUCGGAGAGUGUUAUAGCCCGCCGUGCAAUGCGGCCACCUGGGACCGAGGACCGCGCCUUGUGCAAGGAUGCUGGCGUAAUGGCCUCAUGCGGCCCGUCUUGAAACACGGACCAAGGAGUCUAACAUCUAUGCGAGUGUUUGGGUGAGAGAAGCCCGGGCGCGCAAUGAAAGUGAACGGAGGUGGGAGUUUCUGUUUCUGCGGGAACGCACCAUCGACCGAUCCGGACGUCUUCUGAAGGAUUUGAGUAAGAGCAUAGCUGUUGGGACCCGAAAGAUGGUGAACUAUGCGUGAAUAGGGUGAAGCCAGAGGAAACUCUGGUGGAGGCUCGCAGCGG
rnacentral:rRNA from 2 species